GGAGAGAUGGCUGAGCUGGUCUAAGGCGCACGACUGGAAAUCGUGUGAACGCUAAUACCGUUCCGAGGGUUCGAAUCCCUCUCUCUCCGCCA
rnacentral:tRNA from 2 species